AAAGCCUGAUCCAGCCAUGCCGCGUGUGUGAAGAAGGUCUUCGGAUUGUAAAGCACUUUAAGUUGGGAGGAAGGGUUGUAGAUUAAUACUCUGCAAUUUUGACGUUACCGACAGAAUAAGCACCGGCUAACUUCGUGCCAGCAGCCGCGGUAAUACGAAGGGUGCAAGCGUUAAUCGGAAUUACUGGGCGUAAAGCGCGCGUAGGUGGUUCGUUAAGUCAGGGGUGAAAUCCCGGGGCUCAACCUCGGAACUGCCUUUGAUACUGGAAGUCUGGAGUCCGAGAGAGGUGAGUGGAACUCCGAGUGUAGAGGUGAAAUUCGUAGAUAUUCGGAAGAACACCAGUGGCGAAGGCGGCUCACUGGCUCGGUACUGACGCUGAGGUGCGAAAGCGUGGGGAGCAAACA
rnacentral:rRNA from 1 species